rnacentral:rRNA from 1 species
CAGCCGUAAACGAUGUGCGUUAGGUGUAUCGACGACCACGAGUUGUCGAGGUGCCGAAGGGAAACCGUGAAACGUACCGCCUGGGAAGUACGGUCGCAAGGCUGAAACUUAAAGGAAUUGGCGGGGGAGCACCACAACAGGUGGAGCCUGCGGUUUAAUUGGACUCAACGCCGGGAAUCUCACCGGAUAGGACAGCGGAAUGAUUGCCGGGCUGAAGACUCUGCAUGACUAGCUGAGAGGUGGUGCAUGGCGUCAGUGACU